rnacentral:tRNA from 1 species
GGCGCGGUAGCCAAGUGGUAAGGCCGAGGUCUGCAAAACCUCUACCGCCGGUUCGAGUCCGGCCCGCGCCUCCA